CGGGCUUCCGCCUGGCGGCGAGUGGCGAACGGGUGAGUAAUAUAUCGGAACGUACCCAGAAGUGGGGGAUAACGUAGCGAAAGUUACGCUAAUACCGCAUACGAUCUACGGAUGAAAGUAGGGGACCGCAAGGCCUUAUGCUUUUGGAGCGGCCGAUAUCUGAUUAGCUAGUUGGUGAGGUAAAGGCUCACCAAGGCGACGAUCAGUAGCUGGUCUGAGAGGACGACCAGCCACACUGGAACUGAGACACGGUCCAGACUCCUACGGGAGGCAGCAGUGGGGAAUUUUGGACAAUGGGGGCAACCCUGAUCCAGCAAUGCCGCGUGAGUGAAGAAGGCCUUCGGGUUGUAAAGCUCUUUUGUCAGGGAAGAAACGGCUGUGGCUAAUAUCCACGGCUAAUGACGGUACCUGAAGAAUAAGCACCGGCUAACUACGUGCCAGCAGCCGCGGUAAUACGUAGGGUGCAAGCGUUAAUCGGAAUUACUGGGCGUAAAGCGUGCGCAGGCGGUUUCGUAAGUCUGAUGUGAAAUCCCCGGGCUUAACCUGGGAAUUGCAUUGGAGACUGCGAGGCUAGAAUCUGGCAGAGGGGGGUAGAAUUCCACGUGUAGCAGUGAAAUGCGUAGAGAUGUGGAGGAACACCGAUGGCGAAGGCAGCCCCCUGGGUCAAGAUUGACGCUCAUGCACGAAAGCGUGGGGAGCAAACAGGAUUAGAUACCCUGGUAGUCCACGCCCUAAACGAUGUCUACUAGUUGUCGGGUUUUAAUUAACUUGGUAACGCAGCUAACGCGUGAAGUAGACCGCCUGGGGAGUACGGUCGCAAGAUUAAAACUCAAAGGAAUUGACGGGGACCCGCACAAGCGGUGGAUGAUGUGGAUUAAUUCGAUGCAACGCGAAAAACCUUACCUACCCUUGACAUGUCAGGAAGUCCGGAGAGAUCUGGAUGUGCCCGAAAGGGAACCUGAACACAGGUGCUGCAUGGCUGUCGUCAGCUCGUGUCGUGAGAUGUUGGGUUAAGUCCCGCAACGAGCGCAACCCUUGUCAUUAGUUGCUACGAAAGAGCACUCUAAUGAGACUGCCGGUGACAAACCGGAGGAAGGUGGGGAUGACGUCAAGUCCUCAUGGCCCUUAUGGGUAGGGCUUCACACGUCAUACAAUGGUACAUACAGAGGGCCGCCAACCCGCGAGGGGGAGCUAAUCCCAGAAAGUGUAUCGUAGUCCGGAUCGUAGUCUGCAACUCGACUACGUGAAGUUGGAAUCGCUAGUAAUCGCGGAUCAGCAUGCCGCGGUGAAUACGUUCCCGGGUCUUGUACACACCGCCCGUCACACCAUGGGAGCGGGUUUUACCAGAAGUAGGUAGCUUAACCG
rnacentral:rRNA from 1 species